rnacentral:rRNA from 1 species
AUUGAACGCUGGCGGCAUGCCUUACACAUGCAAGUCGAACGGAUUCUUGGGGCUUGCUCCAAGAGUUAGUGGCGAACGGGUGAGUGAUGCAUCGGAACGUGCCCAAUCGUGGGGGAUAACGUAGCGAAAGUUACGCUAAUACCGCAUACGUCCUGAGGGAGAAAGCAGGGGACUCGCAAGAGCCUUGCGCGAAUGGAGCGGCCGAUGUCGGAUUAGCUAGNGGCGGGGUAAAGCCCACCAAGGCGACGAUCCGUAGCUGGUCUGAGAGGACGACCAGCCACACUGGGACUGAGACACGGCCCAGACUCCUACGGGAGGCAGCAGUGGGGAAUUUUGGACAAUGGGCGAAAGCCUGAUCCAGCCAUGCC